CAGUCGCCGCGGUAAUACAGAGGGUGCGAGCGUUAAUCUGAUUUACUGGGCGUAAAGCGUGCGUAGGCGGCUUUUUAAGUCGGAUGUGAAAUCCCUGAGCUUAACUUAGGAAUUGCAUUCGAUACUGGGAAGCUAGAGUAUGGGAGAGGAUGGUAGAAUUCCAGGUGUAGCGGUGAAAUGCGUAGAGAUCUGGAGGAAUACCGAUGGCGAAGGCAGCCAUCUGGCCUAAUACUGACGUUGAGGUACGAAGGCUUGGGUAGCGAAUAGGAUUAGAUACCCCCGUAGUCCCUGUCUCUUAUAC
rnacentral:rRNA from 1 species